GACAGAGGAGCCAAGCGUUGUCCGGAUUGACUGGGCGUAAAGCGCACGCAGGCGGUCGCGCGCGUGGGGUGUGAAAUCUGGCCGCUUAACGGCCAGGCGCCAUCCCAUACGGCGCGACUGGAGUGAUGCAGAGGUCGAUGGAAUUGCCGGUGUAGUGGUGAAAUGCGUAGAGAUCGGCAGGAACACCCAGGGGGAAACCAGUCGACUGGGCAUCUACUGAC
rnacentral:rRNA from 1 species